AUUGAACGCUGGCGGCAGGCCUAACACAUGCAAGUCGAGCGAGCGGCGGACGGGUGAGUAAUGUCUGGGAAACUGCCUGAUGGAGGGGGAUAACUACUGGAAACGGUAGCUAAUACCGCAUACCCUCAGAUGUGCCCAGAUGGGAUUAGCUAGUAGGUGGGGUAACGGCUCACCUAGGCAACGAUCCCUAGCUGGUCUGAGAGGAUGACCAGCCAGAUGGGAACUGAGACAAGGUCCAUAAUCCGACGGGAGGAAGCAGUGGGGAAUAUUGCACAAUGGACGCAAGCCUGAUGCAGCCAUGCCGCGUGUGUGAAGAAGGCCUUCGGGUUGUAAAGCACUUGCAGCGGGGAGGCGUUACCCGCAGAAGAAGAACCGGCUAACUCAGUGCCAGCAGCCGCGGUAAUAC
rnacentral:rRNA from 1 species